rnacentral:rRNA from 1 species
UACGGGGGAUGCGAGCGUUAUCCGGAUUUAUUGGGUUUAAAGGGUGCGUAGGCGGGAUGCCAAGUCAGCGGUAAAAAUGCGGUGCUCAACGCCGUCGAGCCGUUGAAACUGGCGUUCUUGAGUGGGCGAGAAGUAUGCGGAAUGCGUGGUGUAGCGGUGAAAUGCAUAGAUAUCACGCAGAACUCCGAUUGCGAAGGCAGCAUACCGGCGCCCUACUGACGCUGAGGCACGAAAGCGUGGGUAUCGAACAGG